rnacentral:sRNA from 1 species
CGUGCGCACGCGCCGAAUCCUGAAAAGGAACCGGGGAACCACCAAUUGGGGUGAAUCGGACGCCUUCGUCUCGUACGGAGGGGCCCGUAGGAGACCUUCCUGCUCCGAACCCGUCAGCUAACCCGGUAGGCGAGAAGGAAGGAAAGG